AUGCGAGAAAACGGCCGGCCGUCCGCGGCGAAUCUAACGGCCAGCGGCGACGCUGUAUCCACCAGCACGGCGAAACCGCCGCGUCGUCCGCACGCGCGACAGUCUCUCGUCGGCCGCCGCUCUCCCUCGAUUCGCGCCGGCGGCGAUAACUUCCGCUUACGAGCGCGCGGGAUGGCGUCCGCGCUUUGCUCUCCCCGCCACCACCACCGCUCAUAUCUCUGCCGCCGCCUCCGCCCCGCCCCUCCUAGCCAAGCCCGUCCCCGGAGCGGCCCAUCAGGAUUGGACACCACAAGGUUCCUUCGUUCCCGCCCGAUGUCCACCGGUAGGGGCUGUCCCGCAUCGCGUUCGUCCAUGGAAGCAUCCGACAGCAACCAAGGACCAGAACAUCUCGUUGUUCUGAUUCAUGGUAUCAUGGCAAGGUCAUGGAAAGCUGAAGAACACAUACACUUCAUUCAGGGCUCCUUUGAUUCAAGCUGA
rnacentral:rRNA from 1 species